UACAGAGGGUGCGAGCGUUACUCGGAGUUACUGGGCGUAAAGGGUGCGUAGGCGGUUUAUUAAGUUGGAUGUAAAAUCCCUGGGCUUAACCUGGGAAGGUCAUUCAAGACUGGUAAGCUAGAGUGCAGUAGAGGAUAGCGGAAUUUCCGGUGUAGCGGUGAAAUGCGUAGAGAUCGGAAGGAACACCAGUGGCGAAGGCGGCUAUCUGGACUGACACUGACGCUGAGGCACGAGAGCGUGGGGAGCGAACAGG
rnacentral:rRNA from 1 species